rnacentral:rRNA from 1 species
UACCCUAUAGGUUACAGAUGCUGGAAUGCUUUGUAACCCAAAGUUCCGACGCCUUAGGAUGGAUCUGCGGCCGAUUAGGUUGUUGUCGGGGUAACGGCCCAACAAGCCAGUAAUCGGUACGGGUUGUGGGAGCAAGAGCCCGGAGUUGGAUUCUGAGACACGAAUCCAGGCCCUACGGGGCGCAGCAGGCGCGAAAACUUUACAAUGCGGGCAACCGUGAUAAGGGAACCUCGAGUGCCUGUAUAUGCAGGCUGUCCAGGUGUCUAAAACACACCUGAAGAAAGGGCCGGGCAAGACCGGUGCCAGCCGCCGCGGUAAUACCGGCGGCUCGAGUGGUGGCCACUUUUAUUGGGCUUAAAGCGUUCGUAGCUGGGUUGUUAAGUCUCUUGGGAAAUCUGACGGCUUAACCGUCAGGCGUCUAAGAGAUACUGGCAAUCUUGGAACCGGGAGAGGUGAGGGGUACUUCGGGGGUAGGAGUGAAAUCCUGUAAUCCUCGAGGGACCACCUGUGGCGAAGGCGCCUCACCAGAACGGCUUCGACAGUGAGGGACGAAAGCUGGGGGAGCAAACCGGAUUAGAUACCCGGGUAGUCCCAGCCGUAAACGAUGUGCGUUAGGUGUAUCGGUGACCACGAGUCACCGAGGUGCCGAAGGGAAACCGUGAAACGUACCGCCUGGGAAGUACGGUCGCAAGGCUGAAACUUAAAGGAAUUGGCGGGGGAGCACCACAACAGGUGGAGCCUGCGGUUUAAUUGGACUCAACGCCGGAAAUCUCACCGGAUAAGACAGCGGAAUGAUUGCCGGGCUGAAGACUCUGCAUGACUAGCUGAGAGGAGGUGCAUGGCCGUCGUCAGUUCGUACUGUGAAGCAUCCUGUUAAGUCAGGCAACGAGCGAGACCCACGCCAACAGUUGCCAGCAUGGCCUCCGGGCUGAUGGGGACACUGUUGGGACCGCCUCUGCUAAAGAGGAGGAAGGAAUGGGCAACGGUAGGUCAGCAUGCCCCGAAUUAUCCGGGCUACACGCGGGCUACAAUGGGCAGGACAAUGGGUUUCGACACCGAAAGGUGAAGGCAAUCUCUUAAACCUGUCCGUAGUUCGGAUUGUGGGCUGUAACUCGCCCACAUGAAGCUGGAAUCUGUAGUAA